rnacentral:rRNA from 1 species
CCCAGACUCCUACGGGAGGCAGCAGUGGGGGAUAUUGCACAAUGGGGGAAACCCUGAUGCAGCGACGCCGCGUGAGUGAAGAAGUAUUUCGGUAUGUAAAGCUCUAUCAGCAGGGAAGAAAAAAGACGGUACCUGACUAAGAAGCCCCGGCUAACUACGUGCCAGCAGCCGCGGUAAUACGUAGGGGGCAAGCGUUAUCCGGAUUUACUGGGUGUAAAGGGAGCGUAGACGGCAAUACAAGUCGGAAGUGAAAUACCCGGGCUCAACCUGGGAACUGCUUUGGAAACUGUAUGGCUGGAGUGCUGGAGAGGUAAGCGGAAUUCCUAGUGUAGCGGUGAAAUGCGUAGAUAUUAGGAGGAACACCAGUGGCGAAGGCGGCUUACUGGACAGUAACUGACGCUGAGGCUCGAAAGCGUGGGGAGCAAACAGGAUUAGACACCCUCGUAA